CGAGUUGGCUGGGCGGCCGCGGCACCCCUGAGGUGUCGAGGAAAGUCCGGACUUCACAGAGCAGGGUGAUUGCUAACGGCAAUCCGAGGUGACUCGCGGGAAAGUGCCACAGAAAACAGACCGCCACCUGGUCCUUGUGGCCGGGGGGUAAGGGUGAAACGGUGCGGUAAGAGCGCACCAGCACCCCGGGUGACCGGGGUGGCUAGGCAAACCCCACCCGAAGCAAGGCCAAGAAGGCCGCAACCUGGUUGCGGUCGCGCAGACGCCCGAGGGCUGCUCGCCCGAGUCUGCGGGUAGGCCGCUUGAGGCACCCGGCGACGGUGUGCCCAGAUGGAUGGUCGCCGCCUCGCCCCCUCGGGGUGAGGGACAGAAUCCGGCUUACAAGCCAACUCGUUCG
rnacentral:RNase_P_RNA from 1 species